UACGGGAGGCAGCAGUGGGGAAUAUUGGACAAUGGGGGCGACCCUGAUCCAGCAAUACCGCGUGUGUGAAGAAGGCCUGAGGGUUGUAAAGCAAAUCCAAUUUGAACAAAAGUAAACGGUUAAUAGCCAUACCUUGA
rnacentral:rRNA from 1 species